GGGGCUAUAGCUCAGCUGGGAGAGCGCUACAAUGGCAUUGUAGAGGUCGGCGGUUCGACCCCGCCUAGCUCCACCA
rnacentral:tRNA from 2 species